GUUUUCGGCAUCGUUACUUUGAAGAAANNNNNNNNNUCAAAGCAAGCCAUCGCUCUGGAUACAUUAGGCUGGGAUAACAUCAUAGGAUUCCGGUCCUAUUGUGUUGGCCUUCGGGAUCGGAGUAAUGAUUAAUAGGGACAGUCGGGGGCAUUCGUAUUUCAUAGUCAGAGGUGAAAUUCUUGGAUUUAUGAAAGAC
rnacentral:ncRNA from 1 species